AUUGAACGCUUGCGGCAGGCCUAACACAUGCAAGUCGAACGAGUGGCGGACGGGUGAGUAAUGUCUGGGAAACUGCCUGAUGGAGGGGGAUAACUACUGGAAACGGUAGCUAAUACCGCAUACCAUCGGAUGUGCCCAGGUGGGAUUAGAUAGUAGGGGGGGUAAAGGCUCACCUAGGCGACGAUCCCUAGCUGGUCUGAGAGGAUGACCAGCCACACGGGAACUGAGACAAGGGCCAGACUCCGACGGGAGGCAGGAGUGGGGAAUAUUGCACAAUGGGCGCAAGCCUGAUGCAGCCAUGCCGCGUGUAUGAAGAAGGCCGGCGGGUUGUAAAGUAAUUUCAGCGGGGAGGCGUUACCCGCAGAAGAAGCACCGGCUAACUCCGUGCCAGCAGCCGCGGUAAUAC
rnacentral:rRNA from 1 species